rnacentral:rRNA from 1 species
UCCACGCCGUAAACGAUGGAUACUAGCUGUUCGACCGUAAGGCUGAGUGGCUAAGCGAAAGUGAUAAGUAACCCACCUGGGGAGUACGUUCGCAAGAAUGAAACUCAAAGGAAUUGACGGGGGCCCGCACAAGCGGUGGAGCAUGUGGUUUAAUUCGAUGAUACGCGAGGAACCUUACCAGGGCUUAAAUGUAGUGUGACAGGACUAGAGAUAGUUUUUUCUUCGGACACAUU